AUAUUUCUUGUCGGUGGGGUGUUCGUGUUUGAAAAAAAAAAAUACAAAACGCUUCUUACAGCAAAAAAUAAUAAACUAGAACACAAUGUCCCAGAGCACCACAUAACAAAAGACUCCUCAGAUCAAACCAGACAAGAGAGAUUCAAGAGUUAACCAUUGCAUCUCUCUUUUGGGAAAAGAUGAUGUAAACCCCACACCAUGUGACACUGUAAUGAAUAAUACAGUAGAGAGAGAGAGAGAGAGAAAGGGAGAGAAAGGGGAGAAUACAAACACACUUAAGGUUUGAUGAGAGAGGAGGAGGGCCAUAUAUUUCCGAGACUUAAAGAGAGAAGACUGCUUGUUCUGUCAGAGAAGAUGUGUUGGCUGCCUAUUGACCAGCCUUUGCUCCUGCCCGGUGACUCCACCUGCAGCGUCCGCCGACCUUCGCCGUGCUCCGUGGCUCAGCUGCUCGCGUCGCGCCUGCGGAGGAUCGGGGACCAGCUGGAGAAGGGCUGGGCGGCCGGGGAGGCGGACGGCGGCUACAGCUGCGGGGACGGAGCAGCCACUGUGGUUGUAACCGGGCGAGGCCACUUGAAGAGCUUCCUGUGCACUGCAAUACACUUCACCGUGCUCGUGCUGUUCGUCGCGAAGCGACACCUGUAGGGCGCGAGGCGGCAACACCAGCAACAGAUGGUGCCUUUAGGACCACGCAUGAGGAACGGGCUCACAUCAUUUGCACUAAAAGCAAGGGAUGCAGGAGGGUCGAAGGAUGCGGUCCAGGAAAAGACCGAUACAGGAGGAAGAGGAGGAAGGAGGAAGCGGGGUUAAAUGUGUGUAUCAAGGUCGGAACUUUGUUUCUGAUUUAACUCCACGUGUCACACGAAGAUUUAGGCCCGACGUGAAUGCAAUAGCUACGUGUUUCAUAACGAGCUGACACGCUGAACCCCAGCAGCCCUGCACAGUCCUGCGCCCCUGCGUGACUCUCCGAUUCUGUCAUCCCAGUUACAAAACAGUGAUGUAAUCCUCCCCUGGUAGAGUGGAGGGAAAAGCUUACUAAUAGGACUCGUUUGAAUCUUAGCCUCCCACGGUGUGAGUGCAUUAAUGACAAAUGUAUCUCGGCUAAAAUUAGUGCAGCAAUCCUGAACAUGCACUGAAAUAGACCAGUUCUUGAGCUUAAUAAUGCACUGUACUUGAUCCUUUUUUUUUUUUUUAUUAUUUUUUUUUUACAUAAGCUACACUGUAAGUGCAAACAUGUAAAUAAUGAGCGGAUGAAUGUUUUUAUAGAUGUUUUCUACAGUGUUUAGAUGAUGUUUACACAUUCUCCUGUGCUUUAGCAUUAUCUGUUGGGGGCAGUGUUCAGUGGCUUUUUAUCAUAAACAAGAUACAGGACCUGUGCAUAGGAAGCUAUGCCGUUAAUGCUGUCUGUGAUUUCUGGAAAUAAGCUUUCUCUGACAUAACGUGUAAUGUGAGCAGAAUUACUGAAACUGUCUUUUAUAAAGUGUGUGCUAUUUAUA